rnacentral:rRNA from 1 species
UACGUAGGGUGCAAGCGUUGUCCGGAAUUAUUGGGCGUAAAGAGCUCGUAGGCGGUUCGUCGCGUCGGCUGUGAAAUCCCGAGGCUCAACCUCGGGUCUGCAGUCGAUACGGGCGGACUGGAGUACUGCAGGGGAGACUGGAAUUCCUGGUGUAGCGGUGAAAUGCGCAGAUAUCAGGAGGAACACCGAUGGCGAAGGCAGGUCUCUGGGCCACUACUGACGCUGAGAAGCGAAAGCAUGGGGAGCGAACAGG